rnacentral:rRNA from 1 species
UACGUAGGGAGCAAGCGUUGUUCGGAUUUACUGGGCGUAAAGGGCGCGUAGGCGGCAGAUCAAGUCAGCUGUGAAAUCUCCGAGCUUAACUCGGAACUGUCAGCUGAUACUGUUCGGCUAGAGUGCAGAAGGGGCAACUGGAAUUCUUGGUGUAGCGGUGAAAUGCGUAGAUAUCAAGAGGAACACCUGCGGCGAAGGCGGGUUGCUGGGCUGACACUGACGCUGAAGCGCGAAAGCCAGGGGAGCGAACGGG